GGUAAGAUUUAGCGCCAAAUGUUUGAUAGUUGAAGGAAGAUUGGAUUGAAAAUGAAGGUCCGCAAAGUGAAGACGAAAGUAUCUGCUGGCUUCAGGAUGCGGGACUUAUGCUUCGACCCGUACACAUCGGCUUGAGCUCUUCACCCCACCUGUAAUAGGGGCCGUGCCGCUGCAGAAGGAAGCAGGAACACAUUUCAGCUUAAGACUGUUGAAGCACUUUUAGGUAGUACGGCUACGCUACGAGAGGUCAUUGUCUUGGGGAUGGUCACACAACUUAUAGAGCCCUAGGACCAUGCCUCAGGACUACCUGGCCUGAUGACUCCUUGCUGUCCCCAGUCCACCUGGCCGUGCUGCUGCUCCAGUUUCAACUGUUCUGCCUGCGGCUAUGGAACCCUGACCUGUUCACCGGACGUGCUACCUGUCCCAGACCUACUGUUUUCAAGUCUCUAGCGGCAGCAGGAACAGUAGAGAUACUCUGAAUGAUCGGCUAUGAAAAGCCAACUGACAUUUACUCCUGAGGGGAAAUUCUAUCUGGAAGACCCCAGUGGUACAGUACAGCUGAACCUCUCAAAGGCAAUAUCAUUUCAUUAUUGUGGUGAUGAAAGGAGAAUGACAAAAGUGUUCGUUUACAUUGCGAAACAUGGCCAAUUCAAGUCUGGAAUAUAGUCCGUUUAUUGUAUUUCAAAGCAUGUAUGUUUUCCUUAACCUUGUCCUCACCAGUUCCACAGUGGACUUUACACAGUCUUGAUUUCUUUUGGCAGAAGGUAAAAUAAAUGAUCCUCUUCAUCCACAUGAAUGGACAUCAGACAGGAGAUGUACUAUUUACUAUUACCUCAUUGUGUUAUGCAAUCCACAGGCUGGUAUGAGGACUCAGUCUUCCAUGUCAAUGCAUUUGGGUUCCCAACGACCGAGCCAUCAUCCACCACAUUGUCAGUAGAUUAGAUUGCAGAAUGUUGCUAAUUGUGGACCUACAGUUGAAGUUGAAAAUGUACAUACACCUUAGCCAAAUACAUUUAAACUCAGUUUUAGAGAGAAUGAUUUAUUUCAACUUUUAUUUCUUUUAUCACAUUCCCAGUGGGUCUGAAGUUUACAUACACUCAAUUAGUAUUUGAUAGCAUUGCCUUUAAAUUGUUUAACUUGGGUCAAACAUUGCAGGUAGCCUUCCACAAGCUUCCCACAAUAAGUUGGGUGAAUUUUGGCCCAUUCCUCCUGACAGAGCUGGUGUAACUGAGUCAGAGCCUACUACGGCACCACGUCGGUGAAGGCCUAUGCCAAGCUGAAGCAGCUGGAGGAGGAGAACGAGGACGUCAUGUUGGUGAUGGUCUCUGACGUUUGGCUGGACAGCGUGGAGGUGCUGGAGAAAAUCCACCUCCUGUUCUCAGGAUACGCAGCUAUGCCGCCCACCUGCUUCAUCUUCUGCAGAAACUUCUCGGCCCCCUAUGGAAAAACACAAAUCAAAUCACUCAAAGAGUCGUUGAAAGUUCUUGCAGAUGCAAUCUAUGAAUACCUCAGCAUCCAACAGUAGUCGCUUUGUGUUUGUCCCCGGUCCUGAAGACCCUGGUCCCAGCACAAUCCUACCCAGGUGAGAGUGAUUUAUUUAAUUAAGAUAAAACAAACUCCAAAAACCAAUGUACAUAAAAAAAAUAACAUGGGUAAAAUAACC